AGUGAACGCUGGCGGCAGGCCUUACACAUGCAAGUCGAACGGUAACAGGUCUUCGGAUGCUGACGAGUGGCGAACGGGUGAGUAAUACAUCGGAACGUGCCUAGUAGUGGGGGAUAACUACUCGAAAGAGUGGCUAAUACCGCAUGAGAUCUACGGAUGAAAGCAGGGGAUCGCGAGACCUUGUGCUACUAGAGCGGCCGAUGGCAGAUUAGGUAGUUGGUGGGAUAAAAGCUUACCAAGCCGACGAUCUGUAGCUGGUCUGAGAGGACGAUCAGCCACACUAGGACUGAGACACGGCCCAGACUCCUACGGGAGGCAGCAUUGGGGAAUUUUGGACAAUGGGCGCAAGCCUGAUUCAGCAAUGCCGCGUGCAGGAUGAAGGCCUUCGGGUUGUAAACUGCUUUUGUACGGAACGAAAAGCCCUGGGUUAAUACCCUGGGGUCAUGACGGUACCGUAAGAAUAAGCACCGGCUAACUACGUGCCAGCCGCCGCGGUAACAC
rnacentral:rRNA from 1 species